rnacentral:rRNA from 1 species
AAGACCUUGCGCUUUUGGAGCGGCCGAUGUCUGAUUAGCUUGUUGGUGAGGUAAAGGCCUACCAAGGCAACGAUCAGUAGCUGGUCUGAGAGGACGACCAGCCACACUGGGACUGAGACACGGCCCAGACUCCUACGGGAGGCAGCAGUGGGGAAUUUUGGACAAUGGGGGCAACCCUGAUCCAGCCAUUCCGCGUGAGUGAAGGAGGCCUUCGGGUUGUAAAGCUCUUUCGCAAGGGAAGAAACGAUGUAAGUUAAUAGCUUAUGUUAAUGACGGUACCUUGACAAGAAGCACCGGCUAACUACGUGCCAGCAGCCGCGGUAAUACGUAGGGUGCAAGCGUUAAUCGGAAUUACUGGGCGUAAAGCGUGCGCAGGCGGUUUUGUAAGUCAGAUGUGAAAUCCCCGAGCUCAACUUGGGAACU